CCUACGGGAGACAGCAGUAGGGAAUCUUCCACAAUGGACGAAAGUCUGAUGGAGCAACGCCGCGUGAGUGAAGAAGGUUUUCGGCUCGUAAAGCUCUGUUGUUAGGGAAGAAAGAUUGUGUUAGUAACUGUGCUCUAUUUGACGGUACUUACUUAGAAAGUCACGGCUAACUACGUGCCAGCAGCCGCGGUAAUACGUAGGUGGCAAGCGUUGUCCGGAUGUAUUGGGCGUAAAGCGAGUGCAGGCGGUUUUAUAAGUCUGAUGUGAAAGCCCUCGGCUCAACCGGGGAAGUGCAUUAGAAACUGUUGAACUUGAGUGCAGAAGAGGAGAGUGGAAUUCCAUGUGUAGCGGUGGAAUGCGCAGAUAUAUGGAAGAACACCAGUGGCGAAGGCGACUUUCUGGUCUGUAACUGACGCUGAGGCUCGAAAGCAUGGGGAGCGAACAGGAUUAGAUACCCGAGUAGUC
rnacentral:rRNA from 1 species